rnacentral:rRNA from 1 species
UACAGAGGUCCCAAGCGUUGUUCGGAUUCAUUGGGCGUAAAGGGUGUGUAGGUGGCGCGCUAAGUCGGGUGUGAAAUUUCGGAGCUUAACUCCGAAACUGCAUUUGAUACUGGCGUGCUUGAGGACUGGAGAGGAGACUGGAAUUCAUGGUGUAGCAGUGAAAUGCGUAGAGAUCAUGAGGAAGACCAGUGGCGAAGGCGGGUCUCUGGACAGUUCCUGACACUGAGACACGAAGGCCAGGGGAGCAAACGGG